rnacentral:rRNA from 1 species
GCAGCAGCCGCGGGAAUACGUAUGUCACAAGCGUUAUCCGGAUUUAUUGGGCGUAAAGCGCGUCUAGGUGGUUAUGUAAGUCUGAUGUGAAAAUGCAGGGCUCAACUCUGUAUUGCGUUGGAAACUGUGUAACUAGAGUACUGGAGAGGUAAGCGGAACUACAAGUGUAGAGGUGAAAUUCGUAGAUAUUUGUAGGAAUGCCGAUGGGGAAGCCAGCUUACUGGACAGAUACUGACGCUGAAGCGCGAAAGCGUGGGUAGCAAACAGGAUUAGAUACCCCGGUAGUCCCUGUCUCUUAUACC